rnacentral:rRNA from 1 species
UACGUAGGGGGCAAGCGUUAUCCGGAAUUACUGGGUGUAAAGGGGGCGCAGACGGCGAUGCAAGCCAGGAGUGAAAGCCCGGGGCCCAACCCCGGGACUGCUCUUGGAACUGCGUGGCUGGAGUGCAGGAGGGGCAGGCGGAAUUCCUGGUGUAGCGGUGAAAUGCGUAGAUAUCAGGAGGAACACCGGUGGCGAAGGCGGCCUGCUGGACUGCAACUGACGUUGAGGCCCGAAAGCGUGGGGAGCAAACAGG